GAUGAACGCUGGCGGCGUGCCUAAUACAUGCAAGUCGAGCGAACAGACGAGGAGCUUGCUCCUCUGACGUUAGCGGCGGACGGGUGAGUAACACGUGGAUAACCUACCUAUAAGACUGGGAUAACUUCGGGAAACCGGAGCUAAUACCGGAUAAUAUAUUGAACCGCAUGGUUCAAUAGUGAAAGACGGUUUUGCUGUCACUUAUAGAUGGAUCCGCGCCGCAUUAGCUAGUUGGUAAGGUAACGGCUUACCAAGGCGACGAUGCGUAGCCGACCUGAGAGGGUGAUAGGCCACACUGGAACGGAGAAACGGUCCAGGCGCCUAAGGGAGGCAGCAGUAGGGAAUCUUCCGCAAUGGGCGAAAGGCUGACGGAGCAAAGGCGCGUGAGUGAUGGAGGUCUUCGGAUCGUAAAACUCUGUUAUUAGGGAAGAACAAAUGUGUAAGUAACUAUGCACGUCUUGACGGUACCUAACCAGAAAGCCACGGCUAACUACGUG
rnacentral:rRNA from 1 species